UAGUUGGCCAUUGUAGUAUCCCUAGUUGGAUAUGAGCCAGAGGAACUUGCACACUAUGGCUAUACUUAGUUGGCAGUUUUAAUUAUCUUGUUUUUUCAUAGUCACAUGUUUUGUUGGCAUCUCUAGUAGUUGUACUUGCACACAAACCUCAUAGUAGUUGGCUCUAUUUAUCAUGCAAGUUUCUUUCGUGCGUGAAACUGAUUCAAGUUGGCACCCAUACAGUUCGUAGUAGCACAUGAACCUUAUAGUAGUUGGCAUCCAUACAAGGCAUAGUUGCACAUGAACCUUAUACUAGUUGUCAUUUUUUAGAUUCACUAUUUCAAUUAGACAGAACCACACAAGUUUCCUGUCUUAAUUAUUUCAAUUAGACGUGCAUGUAAGCAAUUUGCCCCAUCCAACCAAUGGCAUGGGAUAGCAAUCUAAUUGCCACGGUCAUUAAGAUGGACUUGAAGGCGUCUGGUGUGUUUGGCAAGCUACAAGUGAGUAAAGCUUUUUGCUUCCUUCCUAUUUUUUUUACCUGCACAUGUUUGUUCUCGUAUUUGCAUAACUAAGCAUACCAGUCUGGCACAACAACCCAUGACAGUUGCAUAGAUGCUUAUACGUUUUUCUCUCAAAGGUAGUGGAAGGGGGAACAAACAAACAAAUCAGCAUCAGUUUGAAAUAAACAAAUCAAAUUUUGGCCGCACUUUUUUUAUCAAACUAAACAUCCAAGUAAAUUCUCUCAGUUGCUCAGAAGGGUCUUUUCAGUUGCACACAUGCACACACAAGUUGCACAAAUAACACACAUGAUGGGCAUUGUUUUUCGUUGUUAUAUUACACAUCUUUUUCAUGUUUCCAAGCUUUUCACAAAGGUUGUAUUCCAGCUGCACACAAUAGACACAAGUCUGGAAGUACUUUUAUUCAAGUAAAAACACAUCCAAACUACUUCCGGCAGUUGCACAAUUUCAUUUUCAAGUUGCACAGAAUGGAGCCAUAAGUUGCACACCACAAACCUAUCUAGUUCCAAUAUAUUAUCAGGUUUGCUGCCGCAUACAUUUUUUCUGUUUUUCCAUAGUUUCACACAGGGGAUUCUUCCAAUUUUGGCCAAGACGACAUAGAACAUGGAGUCCAUGUCUUCUCAUGAAGUUUUUUUUUCAUGCAUCAACAGCCUUACAAGCAGUAAAACGUCUUCUUUUUCUUUUGUUUUUGUCUGCUAACCAGGUGUUGGGUGGAUAAGCUUCUAGCAAACAAAUUUAAACAGAAGAAGUGAUCACCAAGAAGCAAUCUGCUACUAUUUAUUUUUCAGUUUUUUAGCCAUUGUUUGCCUUCUAAACUAAAACAUUACUGCAUUAUAGAUAUAUCUAGUAGACUAUGUGUAACAAACCAGAACAUAUGGCCUAUAUACACUAGGUAUUUUUACAGCAGUAUGUCCAUUUUUUUUCCUCUGUCAGUGUGUGAGUUGCACAAUAUGAAACAAAAGUUGGUUGGAUUACCUGAAAUAGUUGGUCGCAACCAACACAAAAGUUGCACAAUAUGCAUUUCCCUGUUUUGUGUGUUCAUGGAGUUUUAUGUGUGUUUUGGUAGAAGUUUGGUCGAACUAUUUUCGGAGCAGUUGCAGUCAACAUGAAGAAGGAUUGGAGAAGUUGAAUUCGAGGUGAAGAAGAAGAAGAGGAACAUGUCACCUUGCUUCCUCCUCUUUUCAAGUUGAAGAUCUACAACAACCCGAUCUUCCAUGACAGCUCCUGAGAUAGGGAAGGCUCCCAUGGCGUGUUCCUGGUGCUCCUUUCAUGGGGAUGAAGAUGGUGGGCGAGGCAGUUGGAGAUGUGUUGGUGUGCAUCACAUGAUUGGUGAGACUAGGAAGGAGGAAGAGAAAGGGGGCGUUGGGGACCAGGUGGUUUUUGUACUGGGUUGCCCUCUCCCUUUCUUUACUUUUGGGAUUGGGUGGGGACAAAAACUUACCAUAUGUAGGACACCGCUCGGGACCGCUGGGGAGGCAACGACCGCUCCCUAGACGCGUCCAUAUCCCGUGAGAUCCCUAAUGUUUCACAUCCACACAGCUAUCCCAGUGGCUAGCACCUCAGUCGAGUACCCAGGAGUCCUGGGUUUGACCCCAGCCAGGGCCCCUUUUUCUUUUUCA